CUUGAUAGUCCCCUACACCUACUAUCCGCCCGGGUACUACGAGCACUAGCUUAAAACCCAAAGGACUUGGCGGUGCUUUAGAUCCACCUAGAGGAGCCUGUUCUAGAACCGAUAACCCCCGUUAAACCUCACCCUCUCUUGUUCUUCCCGUCUAUAUACCGCCGUCGUCAGCUUACCCUAUGAAGGAACCACAGUAAGCAAAACUAGUAUAACUCAAAACGCCAGGUCGAGGUGUAGCAUAUGAGAGGGGAAGAAAUGGGCUACAUUCCCUACUAAUAGGGCAUACGAACAAUGUAAUGAAACAUACAUUAGAAGGAGGAUUUAGCAGUAAGCAGAAAAUAGAGCA
rnacentral:rRNA from 1 species